GGACCGUAUCUUAGAGGUAGAGCAUCUCCUCUGCAUACAGAAGGUCCCAGGUUCACUCCCUGGCAUCUCCA